CCCCGCACCUGUCGGUCCCCCACCUCCCGGACCCCCGCGUGGCCCCGCGUCCUCACCUGUCGGUCCCCCAUCUCCCACCUCUGGGACCCCCGCGUGCCCCCGCGCCCUCACCUGUCGGUCCCCCAUCUCCCACCUCCCGGACCCCCCGCGUGCCCCCGCGUCCUCACCUGUCGGUCCCCCAUCUCUGGGACCCCCGCGUGCCCCCGCGUCCUCACCUGUCGGUCCCCCAUCUCCCAUCUCUGGGACCCCCGCGUGCCCCCGCGCCCUCACCUGUCGGUCCCCCAUCUCCCACCUCCGGGACCCCCGCGUGCCCCCGCGUCCUCACCUGUCGGUCCCCCAUCUCCCACCUCCGGGACCCCCGCGUGCCCCCGCACCCGCACCUGUCGGUCCCCCAUCUCCGGGACCCCCGCGUCCUCACCUGUCGGUCCCCCAUCUCCCACCUCCCGGACCCCCGCGUGCCCCCGCGCCCUCACCUGUCGGUCCCCCACCUCCCACCUCCCACCUCCGGGACCCCCGCGCCCGGUCCCCCCGCGGCCGCCCCUCCCGGGCUCACCGUGCGCCCCGCGCUGCCCGCGCUCCCCGCGCCCCCCCGGCCCGGCGGGCUGCAGCCGCAGUGCGCUCACAGCCGCAUCGCGGCGACACGGGGAGGCGCGCGGCCGGUCGUCGCCGGCGCCGGGUCCAGGCCGAGGGCGGCUGCCCCUCCGCUCGGCAUUGAGGAGGCGGGAGGAGGGGCGCGGCGAGGCGCACGGGAAAUCUGAUAGAGCAAUGAAAGUCCCUGAAAAAUGGAUGACACUCUGGUCCGUGAAGCCCAGAGUUUGUUUGGCCCAGGACAUUCGAGAAGUGUUGGAAACUGGCAUGCCGUGUGGUGCAGCGGGCCACAGGGAUGACGGGACUCUAGCAAAGAGGCUCAGACAGCCUACCUCUAACACCGGAUCCAGAAUCAUCUUCACACGGAAAGGAGGGACUGCAUCUCUCUCUCCCCAGAACCAGGAGUACAUCCUUUUUGCAGCACUCCCCGACCUCUCUUGCCCUGAUGCAGCCAGGGAAGGAUGGCCUUCUCACAUGCCUCCUCCGAGAAAAACUCAAAGUCAUUGGUUUUAUGUCCCUGAACCUCGAGUAUGGUGAGCGG
rnacentral:lncRNA from 1 species